CCCUUAGAUGUUCUGGGCUGCACGCGUGUUACAAUCGGGAGUACAACAAGAUUGCAAAUCCUAGUGGAUGAGUGGUUCUUCGAAAUUUUCUGAAGACUGGGAUAGUUGAUUGAAAUUAUUCAACUCGAACGAGGAAUUCCUUGUAAUUGUAAUUCAUUAUAUUGUAAUGAAUACGUCCCUGCCCUUUGUACACACUGCCCGUCGCUCCUACCGAUUGAACGAUCCGGUGAAUUAUUUGGAGUAGCUCUGGAAGUUGCAGAACUUCCUAUGCCACGAAAUUUUGUAAACCUUAUCGUUUAGAGGAAGGAAAAGUCGUAACA
rnacentral:rRNA from 1 species